rnacentral:rRNA from 1 species
CCUACGGUAGGCAGCAGUGAGGAAUAUUGGUCAAUGGACGAGAGUCUGAACCAGCCAAGUAGCGUGAAGGAUGACUGCCCUAUGGGUUGUAAACUUCUUUUAUCAAGGAAUAAAACGAGGCACGUGUGCCUUUUUGCAUGUACUUUAUGAAUAAGGAUCGGCUAACUCCGUGCCAGCAGCCGCGGUAAUACGGAGGAUCCGAGCGUUAUCCGGAUUUAUUGGGUUUAAAGGGAGCGUAGAUGGGUUGUUAAGUCAGUUGUGAAAGUUUGCGGAUCAACCGUAAAAUUGCAAUUGAUACUGGCAGUCUUGAGUACAGUUGAGGUAAGCGGAAUUCGUGGUGUAGCGGUGAAAUGCUUAGAUAUCACGAAGAACCCCGAUGGCGAAGGCAGCUUACUAAACUGUGACUGACAUUGAUGCUCGAAAGUGUGGGUAUCAAACAGGAUUAGAUACCCUAGUAGUC